AUACUUACUUGGCUAGAAAGUUAAACGUGGUUAAUAAGGGGGUUCCUUAGGGAUGAUGGCCUUUCAUUGCACUUCAGUAGGCUUUACCUCCUCCAUUAUCCCAAAUGUGGGUAACUGGAUCGCAUAGUUUAUAUUAGUGGGGAUCUGCAAUUUUUAAUUAAUAAUUUUUCUCA
rnacentral:snRNA from 1 species